UACCCGCAGCCCAAGUGGUGUUCGUUAUUAUUGGGUCUAAAACGUCCGUAGCCGGCUUAGUAAAUUCCUGGGGAAAUCGAACGGCUUAACCGUUCGAAGUCCGGGGAGACUGCUAGGCUUGGGAUCGGGGGAAGUUCGAGGUACUUUUGGGGUAGGGGUGAAAUCCUGUAAUCCUAAAAGGACCACCAGUGGCGAAGGCGUCGAACUACAACGAAUCCGACGGUAAGGGACGAAGCCCUGGGGCACAAACGGG
rnacentral:rRNA from 1 species